UAGGGAAUCUUCGGCAAUGGACGGAAGUCUGACCGAGCAACGCCGCGUGAGUGAAGAAGGUUUUCGGAUCGUAAAGCUCUGUUGUUAGAGAAGAACGUUGGUAGGAGUGGAAAAUCUACCAAGUGACGGUAACUAACCAGAAAGGGACGGCUAACUACGUGCCAGCAGCCGCGGUAAUACGUAGGUCCCGAGCGUUGUCCGGAUUUAUUGGGCGUAAAGCGAGCGCAGGCGGUUCUUUAAGUCUGAAGUUAAAGGCAGUGGCUUAACCAUUGUACGCUUUGGAAACUGUAGGACUUGAGUGCAGAAGGGGAGAGUGUAAUUCCAUGUGUAUCGCUGAAAUGCGUAGAUAUAUAGAGCAACUCCGGUGGCGAAAGCCGCUCUCUGGUCUGUAACUGUCGCUGAGGCUCGAAAGCGUGGGGAGCAAACAGG
rnacentral:rRNA from 1 species